GAUCGAAUAUACGCCUAUGGGUCUGGUGUUUGGUUGUCAGAUUGGCCGAGUAUGCCAAUCAGUGAAGCAACGUCACUGUCUGAAAUCUAAAAUUAGCUGGAUUCACUUACUAUAUUCACUAUCAGGGACGUCGCUACCGGGGUGUAGCGUUGAACCGUAAUUGAAACGUUUGUCAAAGUUGGUCAAAAUGGAACUGCUAUUUGCUCAAAGUUUGUCAAAAUGGAACUGAUAUUUGCUUAAAAUUUAAGGUCAAAGUUGGUAAAUUGUGGUUAAAUAUUGGCAAGCCUUGUAGGCCGUGGGCUGUUGGCCAAAUUUAUUUCGCUUCGUGGCACCCAUGUGGGAAAUACUUGGUUUGGGGUUUAUUUGAAAGGCAUAUAGGUACAUCACUACCAAAAAAAGUUCCCAAGCAAAAAAGUUGCCCAAUAAAUUGUAUUACAGCAAAAAAAUGGGAAAUUCUGUAUUCAAUUACAAUAAAAAUGACUUUCAUCAUCGGAAAACGUACAAAAAACAGCAUAUAAGACUUUUAAACAGUUUUUUGAUUUUUCAAAUAGUCUUUGAGUUAUUGCUGUUUUAUAUGUGAAAAUUGCACCAAAAUGUCGCCAUAAGGACUGGGUACUAGGUCAAAAACGCGUUUUUGACAGUGUAUAACUCGAAAACAAUUUUAGAUAUAAAAAAACUGUUUAAAUGUCUUAUAUGUAGGUUUUUGUAAGCUUUCUUAUAAUGCAAGUGC